AGCAGCCGCGGUAAUUCCAGCUCCAAUAGCGUAUAUUAAAGUUGUUGCAGUUAAAAAGCUCGUAGUUGAAUUUCGGGAUCAAUACGUCGGUCGUGCUUCGGUACGUACUGGCGUAAUUGAUUUCUCCCUUCUGACGAACCAUGAUGUCAUUAACUUGGUGUCAUGGGAAAUCAGGACUGUUACUUUGAAAAAAAUUAGAGUGUUUAAAGCAGGCUCACGCUUGAAUACAUUAGCAUGGAAUAAUGAAAUAGGACGUUCGAUCCUAUUUUGUUGGUUUUUAGGAUCAACGUAAUGAUUAAUAGGGAUAGUUGGGGGCAUUAGUAUUCAAUUGUCAGAGGUGAAAUUCUUGGAUUUAUUGAAGACUAACUACUGCGAAAGCAUUUGCCAAGGAUGUUUUCAUUAAUCAAGAACGAAAGUUAGGGGAUCGAAGACGAUCAGAUACCGUCGUAGUCUUAACCAUAAACUAUGCCGACUAGGGAUCGGAUGAUGUUAAUUUUUUAAUGACUCAUUCGGCGCCUUA
rnacentral:misc_RNA from 1 species